GAAUGGUUGGACGAAAUACUAACUGUUUCAUUUAAAUUUAUUAUAGAACUUUAUUUUUUAGUCAAAAAGCUAAAAUUUAAUUAAAAGACGAGAAGACCCUAUAAAUCUUUAUAUUUGCGACGUUAUAAUUAAAAAGAUUAAUUUAAUUAUGAUUUUUGUAAAUAUUUUAUUGGGGUGAUAUUAAAAUUUAAAAAACUUUUAAUUUUUAAAAACCAUUAAUUUAUGAAUAAUUGAUCCAUUAAUAAUGAUUAAAAAUUUAAGUUACUUUAGGGAUAACAGCGUAAUUUUUUUGGAGAGUUCAUAUUGAUAAAAAAGAUUGCGACCUCGAUGUUGGAUUA
rnacentral:rRNA from 1 species